CCUGCAGCGCGGUUUCCACCCAACAGUAUUGCUCAACCCCAAGGUAUUCGUUUUCCGUUUCUAUUUUUUUGUCCCUCUCUAUUUUUAGCCGGUUUCAAGGAUUUCCGCCCCGUACAGAGGAUCGCCUUCAAAAAGAAGACGAGCGUUCCCACUCCAGCGCCGUGUUGGUGUCACUUACACUCCCAACUUCUGCUGUCUGAAGGAAACCCGACUCCACGGAGCCGACUAGACUCAGCAGAAAGACGAACUGAAUGUAGAACCACCUUUCAAGGUUGUGACAGCAGUUGUGAAGGAUUCAGAAGACAGUUAUUCGAAUCUUAUCCCACACUGAGUGAGGGUGGUGGAUUUUAACUAAUGAAGAUUUCAGGAUCUAUGAGAAGCCAGAUCUUGGCUGUUAUUCCUUGCCCUAAUGAGGGGUACUCAGCAAAAUAUUUAAGGGACCCAGAAACCCAAAUUUGGCUCUGUCAUUAUCUAUGUAAGGCCGCUACAAAGAGGUCUUAAUAUGGAUCAGGUAAGAGCUUAUUGUUUUUUUCUUUGAUUGUUUCUUAGUGCUGGUAAAUUCUUAUUAUUCAUCCAUCUUCUUUGGUGGGUUUUCAGGGUUCCACAUGUUCAUUCAGCUGUAGUGUAACAUUGCAUUUGCAGUGAAUGACGUGUCUGCUGCAAUUCAUUUAGUAGGUUCCUGGGCUGUCCUUAUCCACUGGGCCCCUGAUGAAGUGCCUCUUUUGUGAGAAAGACUUUUCCUUCUCAGAAAUAAAGUCACAGUGACGGCUGUAGCAGCAGGUAUAGUGUUUUUGUUAAUGUAAUUGGUCAUUGUUAAAUACAGUACAUUAACUAUUUUGAAAGGUUUAUUUGCAGUAAAAUGAUGAAAUAUGCGUAUAGUGGUUUUCAGGAAAUGUUUAUGCUAAUGUAGUCUUACAAAAAUAAAUGUAUUGGUCUCGUUAAAUGUUUUCAAAAUGAAUAAAAGCUGAUUGGCUGUGUUUUGAUGUAAUAUAAUUUAAGUCGUGGUUAUAAUCAUUGUUUUGCUGCACUUCAUGGAUACAUAUGUCAAGUUCUUAUUACCUGUUGUCAUAUACCAAAGGAACUUUUUGAUGAACAUUCUCACAGUGAUCUGACAAUGUGUUGGUCCUGCAUAUGCUUGUGAUCAUUUGUCCUUAAUUGUCUUUGUUUUGCUGUGUCUUCUUAGUUAAUUACUUCAUGUGAAACUUAUGGUUUAAAAUGUAUUGUCUUCAAGGCCUUCAUUUCAGAGCACAGACAGUAGUGUAGUGGAAGGAGUAGGUGAGACUCAGAGUUCAGAGGUGCCCACUGCAACAGUAACUUGUGUGCUGCUGAAUUCUGAUGAGCUGCUACAGGAGUGUAUUCCGGAUAGACCAAGUGAAAUAAUAGACAGCAAUAGGGAUGCAGGAGUAGACAGGGCAGUCUUCGUUGACAGCAGAGAGACUGAGGACGGUUUGUGAAUUAAAUUAUUUGAAUUAAUUUUAUGUGUUGAAUGAAAUAAGCUGACACCUUUCUGUUUUUCAAUGGGUAUGUUUUAUUUCUUUUCAGAAUGUGAAAUCAUGGCAAAUUUGUUCAGGGAGGCUGUAUUGAAGCAGCAUGGAACUGCUAAACCACUCCAUCUAAGAAUGGAUUUGCGAGACAGCAUGGAGAAUAGAGAGAGGGACAUUUUGUCAUUUUAUAAAAUGUCCAAAGUAGAAUGGGCCUGUCCUUUAAAAUGCACACUUGAAGAAAUCACUGACAGAACUUUUAAUGUUUGAAGGAGAACCUGACCAUUUAAUUCCCUCCACAUCUGAGUUCCUUCUCGAGAGUGACAUGUUUCACGUUGCUGGGCGAAUGAUUGGACAUUCUUUCCUGCACAGUGGUCCAAGCUUAGCUGGAUUGAGUCCCGCAAUUAUCCAUGUGUUGCUUGGAGGUGCACCAGAAACCGCCAAUCUGGAGAGUCACGAUUGUCCUGAUAUUGAUGUUCACGAAACUGUCAAAUUAGUAAGUAAUGUAUGCAUAAUUUCAAUGGCUGAAACUUUUAUUGUCUGUUCUGUAUUCUCUCAUUUUCUGUGCCUCUGAAAAUUACUAACAAGCACUCUUUUGAACAGAAUUGUCCCAAAUUCAAGGUUGUAGGCUGGAGACUGAAAUGUACUGAAGUGUAAAUCACUGAUGUAGAGUGGGAUGAUCUCCGUUCCAUGUGAACAACUAAGAAUGGAAUGUGGAGCUAAGCCUGAUUAAGUUUUCUGGGCUUAAACAACUAAUACAAGUGUCUUUCAUGACAUUAAAAUAAAGUCAAGCUAUU